ACCAUAAAAGAAUGAUAUAACUCCUGUACAAUGAAGGUGGUAGCAGUGAAGACAGGGGAGACUAAUGUCGGACAACAUCUGAGGGUUUGGUCCACAAUACCUCUUUCAUGAGACGUCUUGCACCUGUUUGACUUUUCCUUCCUUCCUUUUUAAUUUUAAGCCAAAGUGUUAUUACUGAUGUUUUGAGUUGCUGCUGCUUCAGAAUCCUGAGCGUGUCUCCUGCAACAAAGCCUCCACACAUGUCCACGCAACCAUAUUAAAAGCAUAUGAUUACUGCCCCUUAAUAUGCCCUUUUGUCAUUAGCUCUUAUGCCAUGCAUCACAUGUCUUCACUCAUCCCUGUCAUAAUUCCAGGAGAUUAAUUAAAAUUCUUGUUACUACCAAAAUUCUACCAAUUAACUGACAUUUUCUUUUUAAAGGAGUUUUUUUCAUCUUUAUUCUGUCAGGCUUCCAAAAUUUGGCCCCUUCCUGAAUUGAGACCUUUUUUUCCUGAAAAAUCACUAAGCUCUGUGGCCUUUACUGCUUUUUUUGUUUUGCCAAGCAUAUUCCUUGGCCCAAAACUGAAGAAUAGAAACUUAAUUUUUUUUUUUAGUUUAAAUAAAAUGGAUCAUUUCUAAUAAUCAGUGGUAACAAUUUAGUGACCCUUAAUAGAUGAAAGGUUACAUUAUUUAUACUCGGGAUUUUUUUUUCUAACUAUUCUGGUUUUGUACGGUAAAACUAUGGGAAAUAUCACUGGUCUGUCCAGAAGGAGUAGUAAUUAUUACUGAGUUAUGUAGAAAAGUCCAGUGGACCAGUCAUUUCUUGUACAAAUAAAUUUGGUGGUACUACUGUGUAUCCAGAGCAAUUUGACUUGUCAAAACUUCAUUCUCUGUUAGUAAACCUAUAUAAUGACACACUUAAAAUCUUACAGUUGACUUCUGGUAUUUUAAUUCCCCAGUGUUUUUACUUUAGUGUAUCCUAUGACUGGUUUGGUCUUUUUUCAACUAUUAUGAUUCUCGACCCUGAUCAGUAUUAUUUUUUCAUAGAUAAUGCAUUGUUCGAAUAUAUUCUUUUCCUGCUGUUGGUCCAGUCAGAAUAGUUUGUUCAGGAAUGAUAAGGCUUAGGUAACUUUCCGCUCACUUUGACAGAUGCUUAAACAUGUUUUUUA
ensembl:lncRNA